UCCGUAGGGUGCAAGCGUUAAUCGGAAGUACUGGGCGUAAAGCGUGCGCAGGCGGUUUUGUAAGUUUGUCGUGAAAUCCCCGGGCUUAACCUGGGAAUGGCAUUGGUGACUGCACGGCUAGAGUGUGUCAGAGGGGGGUAGAAUUCCACGUGUAGCAGUGAAAUGCGUAGAGAUGUGGAGGAAUACCGAUGGCGAAGGCAGCCCCCUGGGAUAACACUGACGCUCAUGCACGAAAGCGUGGGGAGCAAACAGG
rnacentral:rRNA from 1 species